rnacentral:lncRNA from 1 species
AUCAACUAAGUAUCUGUUCCUCCACACCCUUCCAUCAUAAUGUUUCUGCCUUGGAGCUGGCCCAAACUGGGAGGAAUCUCUGACUACCUGGAAACGAAUUAAUCUUCUCCUUUCACCUGUGAUGUCAAGUGGUGUGGACCAGCAACAGGAAAGCUGACUAAUACAGUAUUCCUAAAGAUAUGUUCAAAUGCUUCACUGCAAACCCCAGGAGAAUGACCAUCACUGUAUCAUAGCAUCCUGCUCACAUCUGCAACCAAUCAGCCCCCCUGCUCAACCUCCAGCAUUUUGUUCAAGCCAGUUACACACUUGUCACAGCAUGGGCCCUUGCACACCAAAGAGGUCAAAGAGCCUGGGACAGGAAGAGCUGUGAGCACUAUUUAAGCUUUUCAAGGCAGGAUACGGGCCAUAACCCCUCC